rnacentral:rRNA from 1 species
AACGAACGCUGGCGGCAGGCUUAACACAUGCAAGUCGAACGCUCGUAGCAAUACGGGAGUGGCAGACGGGUGAGUAACACGUGGGAACGUGCCCUAAGGUACGGAACAACGCCGGGAAACUGGCGCUACUACCGUAUGUGACCGAGAGGUGAAAGAUUUAUCGCCUUAGGAGCGGCCCGCGUUGGAUUAGCUAGUUGGCGGGGUAAAAGCCCACCAAGGCGACGAUCCAUAGCUGGUCUGAGAGGACGAUCAGCCACACUGGGACUGAGACACGGCCCAGACUCCUACGGGAGGCAGCAGUGGGGAAUCUUGGACAAUGGGCGCAAGCCUGAUCCAGCCAUGCCGCGUGAGUGACGAAGGCCCUAGGGUUGUAAAACUCUUUCGCCGAGGACGAUAAUGACGGUACUCGGAGAAGAAGCUCCGGCUAACUUCGUGCCAGCAGCCGCGGUAA